rnacentral:pre_miRNA from 1 species
UAGAUACACCCAUUUGUUCCAAAUUACUUGUUGCAGAAAUGGAUGUAUCUAGAACUAAAAUACAUCUAGAUACAUCCAUUUCUGUGACGAGUAAUUCGGAACGGAGGGAGUAUUUC